rnacentral:lncRNA from 1 species
AAAUAGAAUGACCCGAUGGAAAAAUAGCAUGACCCUGAUGGAAAAAAUAAAAUGUCGCUGAUGUAAAAUAUAUGGUAUGUGAACCUAUACGGUUCGAUAANNNNNNNNNNACCCUUAUGGAAAAAAUAGGAUGUCCCUGAUGGAAAAUAUAUGGUAUUUGAACCUAUACGGUUCGAUAAAUGGUAGGAUGAUGGUACUGUGACUCUUAAUCGAAUGAAAAUAGAAAGACUACUUUGUUUUAAAUCCUAUAAAUUAGAAUGACCCGAUGGAAAAAAUAAAAUGACCCUGAUGGAAAAUAUAUGAUUGUACUGUGACACUUGAUCGAAUGAAAAUAGAAAGCCUACUUUGUUUUAAAUUGUAUGAAAUAGAAUGACCCAACGGAAUAAAUAGAAUGACCCUGAUGGAAAAUUAGAAUGUCUCUGAUGGAAAAUAUAUGGUAUUAGAACCUAUAUGGUUCGAUAAACGGUAGGAUGAUGGUACUGUGACCCUUAAUCGAAUAAAAAUAGAAAGACUACUUUGUUUUAAAUUCUAUAUAAUAGAAUGACCCGAUUGAAAAAGAAGAAUGUAUUAGAAUUUGUGAGGCCUAUACUCAACCACAAAAGCUAGCUUGAGAGUUGAGGUUUGCACUACACUUAUAAAGGUUAUCUUUGCCAUAUCUCUAGCCAAUGUGGGACUUCUAACACACCCCCUCACGUCCAGAACUGAACAAGCUGGAACGUGGGAUCAACAACAACGGGUGGCCCAAAUAUGGGAGGUCUCCACAACAAACAACANNN